AUUGAACGCUGGCGGCAGGCCUAACACAUGCAAGUCGAGCGGAUGAAGGGAGCUUGCUCCUGGAUUCAGCGGCGGACGGGUGAGUAAUGCCUAGGAAUCUGCCUGGUAGUGGGGGAUAACGUCCGGAAACGGGCGCUAAUACCGCAUACGUCCUGAGGGAGAAAGUGGGGGAUCUUCGGACCUCACGCUAUCAGAUGAGCCUAGGUCGGAUUAGCUAGUUGGUGGGGUAAAGGCCUACCAAGGCGACGAUCCGUAACUGGUCUGAGAGGAUGAUCAGUCACACUGGAACUGGGACACGGUCCAGCCUCCUACGGGAGGCAGCAGUGGGGAAUAUUGGACAAUGGGCGAAAGCCUGCUCCAGCCAUGCCGCGUGUGUGAAGAAGGUCUUCGGAUUGUAAAGCACUUUAAGUUGGGAGGACGGGCAGUAAGUUAAUACCUUGCUGUUUUGACGUUACCAACAGAAUAAGCACCGGCUAACUUCGUG
rnacentral:rRNA from 1 species